UCUCCGUUGGUGAACCAGCGGAGGGAUCAUUACAGAGUUAUCUAACUCCCAAACCAUUGUGAACUUACCAUAUGUUGCCUCGGCAGAAGCUGCUCGGUGCACCCUACCUUGGAACGGCCUACCCUGUAGCGCCUUACCCUGGAACGGCUUACCCUGUAACGGCUGCCGGUGGACUACCAAACUCUUGUUAUUUUAUUGUAAUCUGAGCGUCUUAUUUUAAUAAGUCAAAACUUUCAACAACGGAUCUCUUGGUUCUGGCAUCGAUGAAGAACGCAGC
rnacentral:misc_RNA from 1 species